rnacentral:rRNA from 1 species
GGUCAAGCUACUAAGAGCACACGGUGGAUGCCUUGGCGCAGGCAGUCGAUGAAGGACGUGGUAAGCUGCGAUAAGCCCCGGGUAGCCGCAAGCAGGCUUUGAUCCGGGGAUCUCCGAAUGGGGCAACCCACCCGAUUUAUAGUCGGGUAUCCUCCCCUGAGUGAAGUAAGGGGAAGGAAGGCAACCGAGGGAAGUGAACCAUCUCAGUACCUCGAGGAAGAGAAAGCAACAGCGAUUCCCUGAGUAGCGGCGAGCGAAAGGGGACCAGCCUAAACCGGCCGGACUCAAAUCCGACCGGGGUUGUGGGGCGGGGCGCAUGGAAGUGAUAAACCGUUUCGUUAGCUGAAGGUUUUAGGAACAGGCCGCCAUAGAAGGUGAAAGCCCUGUAAGCGAAAACAAAACGGCUUCCGCUCCGUUCCCAAGUACCGCGGGACACGAGGAACCCUGUGGGAAUCCGGGGGGACCACCCUCCAAGGCUAAAUACUCGCCUGCGACCGAUAGUGAACCAGUACCGUGAGGGAAAGGUGAAAAGAACCCCUGCUAGGGGAGUAAAAAGUACCUGAAACCGUGUGCUUACAAGCAGUCGGAGCCCGUCUUCGGACGGGUGACGGCGUGCCUUUUGCAUAAUGAGCCGGCUAGUUAAUCUAUGCAGCAAGGUUAAGCGAUAAGCGAGCCGCAGCGAAAGCGAGUCCUAAAUGGGCGUUCAGUUGCAUGGAUUAGGCGUGAAGCCGAGUGAUCUAUCCUUGGCCAGGAUGAAAUCAAGGUAACACUUGAUGGAGGUCCGAACCAGUGUCGGUUGAAAACGGCUUGGAUGAGCUGAGGAUAGGGGUGAAAGGCCAAUCAAACUCGGGAAUAGCUCGUUCUCCCCGAAAUAGCUUUAGGGCUAGCCUCGGGUGAUCAAUUUCGGUGGUAGAGCUCUGAAUGGACUAGGGGCCCUAAAAGGUUACCGAAUCCAACCAAACUUCGAAUGCCGAAAAUUGCAAUCCGGGAGUCAGACUGCGGGUGCUAAGAUUCGUAGUCGAAAGGGAAACAGCCCAGACCGCCAGCUAAGGCCCCCAAAUACAGGCUAAGUGGUAAAGGAUGUGGAGACGCUUAGACAACCAGGAGGUUGGCUUAGAAGCAGCCACCCUUAAAAGAAAGCGUAAUAGCUCACUGGUCAAGCGGCUCCGUGCCGACAAUUCAACGGGGCUCAAGCCUGUUGCCGAAGCUGCGGAAUCUGCUUUGCAGAUUGGUAGGGGAGCAUUCCAAUCGGGUGAAGGUGUGUUGCGAGACAUGCUGGACUGGUUGGAAGAGACUCUGCCGGCACGAGUAGCGAUAAAGCACGUGAGAGGCGUGCUCGCCGAAAAUCUAAGGUUUCCUUGGGAAGGUUAAUCCGCCAAGGGUUAGUCGGCCCCUAAGCCGAGGCCGAAAGGCGUAGGUGAUGGGAAACAGGUUAAUAUUCCUGUACCGCAUGAAGUGCGUUACUACCAAUGGGGUGACGCGGAAGGGAAGGCUCAGCCGGGUCAUGGUUGUCCCGGUCCAAGCUCGUAGGAGGGUCUGCUAGGCAAAUCCGGCGGACCGUCAACUCCGAGAGGUGAUGGGGAGCCCUUUUUGGGCGAACUGGCUUACACCAUGCCGCCAAGAAAAACCUCUAGGGAGUGCUUCAUGCGACCGUACCGUAAACCGACACAGGUAGAUGGGUAGAAAAUACCUAGGCGCUUGAGAGAACUCUUACUCAGGAACUAGGCACACUAGCUCCGUAACUUUGGAAGAAGGAGUGCCCGCGGUAGGUGGAGGGGUUCGCCCCCCGAGCCGACGCGGGUCGCAGUGAAAGGGCCCAGGCGACUGUUUACUAAAAACACAGGACUCUGCUAAGUCGAACACGACGUAUAGGGUCUGACGCCUGCCCGGUGCCGGAAGGUUAAAGGGAGAGGUCAGCGCAAGCGAAGCUUUGAACUGAAGCCCCGGUAAACGGCGGCCGUAACUAUAACGGUCCUAAGGUAGCGAAAUUCCUUGUCGGGUAAGUUCCGACCUGCACGAAUGGCGUAACGAUCUGGGCGCUGUCUUGGUAAGAGGCUCAGCGAAACUGAAACACCGGUGAAGAUGCCGGUUACCCGCAGCUAGACAGAAAGACCCCGUGCACCUUUACUGUACCUUAGCAGUGGAUUUUGGUGUGUUAUGUGCAGGAUAGGUGGGAGGCUGUGAACUGUGGGCGUCAGCCUGCAGGGAGCCAACGGUGAGAUACCACCCUUAACACUCCGGAGUUCUAACCUAGAGUCGUCAUCCGGCUCAGGGACAUUGCUAGGCGGGCAGUUUGACUGGGGCGGUUGCCUCCUAAAUUGUAACGGAGGCGCUCUAAGGUGUGCUCAGGCUGUUUGGAAAUCAGCCGUAGAGUGCAAAGGCACAAGCACGCUUGACUGUGAGGCCUACAAGCCGAGCAGGUGCGAAAGCAGGACUUAGUGAUCCGGUGGUUCCGUGUGGAAGGGCCAUCGCUCAACGGAUAAAAGGUACGCCGGGGAUAACAGGCUGAUCUUGCCCAAGAGUCCACAUCGACGGCAAGGUUUGGCACCUCGAUGUCGGCUCGUCGCAUCCUGGGGCUGGAGAAGGUCCCAAGGGUCGGGCUGUUCGCCCGUUAAAGCGGCACGUGAGCUGGGUUUAGAACGUCGCGAGACAGUUCGGUCCUUAUCUGCUGUGGGCGUAGGAGAUUUGAGAGGGGCUGUCCUUAGUACGAAAGGACCGGGAUGGACGGACCUCUAGUGCACCAGUUGUCGCACCAGCGGCAUGGCUGGAUAGCUAGGUCCGGUCGGGAUAAACGCUGAAGGCAUCUAAGCGUGAAGCCCACCUCGAGAUUAGAUCUCCCUGCCGUAAGGCACUAAAGACCUCUGGUAGACUACCAGGUGAUAGGCUGGAAGUGGAAGCGUGGCAACACGCGCAGCUAACCAGUACUAAUCGGUCGAGCGGCUUGACCAU